UACGGGGGGAGCAAGCGUUGUUCGGAUUUACUGGGCGUAAAGGGCGCGUAGGCGGCCAGCACAAGUCAGUUGUGAAAUCUCCGAGCUUAACUCGGAAAGGUCAACUGAUACUGUGCGGCUAGAGUGCGGAAGGGGCAACUGGAAUUCUUGGUGUAGCGGUGAAAUGCGUAGAUAUCAAGAGGAACACCUGCGGCGAAGGCGGGUUGCUGGGCCGACACUGACGCUGAGGCGCGAAAGCCAGGGGAGCGAACGGU
rnacentral:rRNA from 1 species